rnacentral:rRNA from 1 species
GAUGAACGCUGGCGGCGUGCCUAAUACAUGCAAGUCGAGCGAACAGACGAGGAGCUUGCUCCUCUGACGUUAACGGCGGACGGGUGAGUAACACGUGGAUAACCUACCUAUAAGACUGGGAUAACUUCGUGAAACCGGAGCUAAUACCGGAUAAUAUAUUGAACCGCAUGGUUCAAUAGUGAACGACGGUUUUGCUGUCACUUAUAGAUGGAUCCGCGCCGCAUUAGCUAGUUGGUAAGGUAACGGCUUACCAAGGCGACGAUGCGUAGCCGACCUGAGAGGGUGAUCGGCCACACUGGAACUGAGACACGGUCCAGACUCCUACGGGAGGCAGCAGUAGGGAAUCUUCCGCAAUGGGCGAAAGCCUGACGGAGCAACGCCGCGUGAGUGAUGAAGGUCUUCGGAUCGUAAACCUCUGUUAUUAGGGAAGAACAAAUGUGUAAGUAACUAUGCACGUCUUGACGGUACCUAAUCAGAAAGCCACGGCUAACUACGUG